UCAUCCAACGCUGGACAGCUUCUGUGCUCCGGACAUCUGUGGUGGGGCUAUGCGUACGUUGUCAUUUCUCUCGGCCUGUAUGCGGCAGCACUGCCCUACUAAAGUAUGCAAGAUACUUAAUCCAGACGGCGCUACCAUCGUGUCCAAAUAUUCGUCCCCA